GACGAACGCUGGCGGCGUGCUUAACACAUGCAAGUCGAACGGAAAGGCCCUGCUUUUGUGGGGUGCUCGAGUGGCGAACGGGUGAGUAACACGUGAGUAACCUGCCCUUGACUUUGGGAUAACUUCAGGAAACUGGGGCUAAUACCGGAUAGGAGCUCCUGCUGCAUGGUGGGGGUUGGAAAGUUUCGGCGGUUGGGGAUGGACUCGCGGCUUAUCAGCUUGUUGGUGGGGUAGUGGCUUACCAAGGCUUUGACGGGUAGCCGGCCUGAGAGGGUGACCGGCCACAGUGGGACGGAGAUACGGCCCAGACUCCUACGGGAGGCAGCAGUGGGGAAUAUUGCACAAUGGGCGGAAGCCUGAUGCAGCAACGCCGCGUGCGGGAUGACGGCCUUCGGGUUGUAAACCGCUUUCGCCUGUGACGAAGCGUGAGUGACGGUAAUGGGUAAAGAAGCACCGGCUAACUACGUG
rnacentral:rRNA from 1 species